UUCAAAGUUGGUUAGGGGAACUGGAUGCCCAAUUUCCAUUAAAUUCUAACUGGAGUAAGGCAUUCAGAUCCCUGUGGAGACUUUGAAAGUUUCAAUCCCCACCCUGGUCCCUUCCACCACUGUUAAAUUCUUUCCUUUUUAAGUCUGUUUCCCAAAGAUAGAUACUGUUAACCUUUCAUUUGCAGCCCUUUCAUUUAUUUCAGCUGGUGCAUUAGUGAAUUCUAUACUGAAUGGUCAUUGCUUGCUACAUAAGCUAUGUUCCUUUCCCACUGUUUCUAGUAAAGGUCUCUGUCUCUCUCUCAUGCUAUCAAGAAGAGAAUCCAUUACAGGUGCUGGAAAUAAGCAACACUCCCCCAAGCACCGUUCAGCAGAGCAAUGCAGGUCAGACCAGAGGCCAGGUCCUACAAAAGCGGGUCAAAGGGCCCAUAGAUGGUGCCAGCAACCAGCCGAAGAACCAACCGAUCACAAGCUUCAAGAACCUGCCGAGGUCAAAAUAAAAUCACCAGGGAGAGCAAGAUUCCAUCUGUUCUCGAGGGACCAGGACUACAGGAGUACUAAAAAGUAGGGAGGCUUUUUCUUAAGACGCAUUUUAAGCAGUAUGCUCUGAGGCUGGGAAGUGGAAGGGGAGGUGUGCACACUGCAUUGGUGCUUCCUCCACAGCCUCUCUACAGGUUUUUUUUUCUUUUUCUUUUUCUUUUUUUUUGCACUGUGCUCCAGCUGUUAGUUUCCUUUAAGAUGAACUGUGGGUUCUUUUGUUAAUAACAUGCAAAAGAAAAGGAAACUCCAUUUGUCCAUCAGCACUCUUAGUCCAGGAGACAGCAGUAUGGAGUCCACCAUGUGGGAUUCUGCAUGCAGCACAUCCUCUCUUUUCUGUGGAAAGCUCCCACACAUGUGGGGGGGUGUGGGAGGCUAUUUAAUUAUUAAAAGAAAUUGCACACUCUUUUGAAGUAGCCCCUGCCCCCUUCUCAGAGGUUUAUACACAUUGUCUUGGAGCUGGAAAAGGUGAAGCCUAUCUGGAAUGCUGCUCAGCUGAGCGGAUGUUUGGCAGUGGGAGCAGCCAGCGGCAUUCUAAGCGCUUGGCCACGUGCAGAGCAUUUCACAUCUGAUAGGAGUGUGAAAAAGAGGUUUGGUGGCUGGCAGAGACUUUGUUAUGAGCUGGGUUGGAGGUGAACAAAGGCAAUGUAUCAGAGGGUAGCCGUGUUAGUCUGGAUCUGUAAAAGCAGCAAAGAAUCCUGUGGCACCUUAUAGACUAACAGACGUUUUGGAGCAUGAGCUUUCGUGGGUGAAUACCCACUUCCUCAGAUGCAUGUAAAGGCAAUGUGUUUUUCUUCUUAAAAACCAAACCCCUCUUUCCAGCAGUUCUCCCUCUGGUUUCUUGGAGGGACAUGCAUUUUGUAAAUCAAUACUAGACUUACCAUUUUCCUUUCUUGGCCCUGUUAUUUUCUUCACGUUGCAAAUAAAGUGGCACAGGGUGGCCA
rnacentral:lncRNA from 1 species